UGGCGGACGGGUGAGUAACACGUGGAUAACCUACCUAUAAGACUGGGAUAACUUCGGGAAACCGGAGCUAAUACCGGAUAAUAUUUUGAACCGCAUGGUUCAAAAGUAAAAGACGGUCUUGCUGUCACUUAUAGAUGGAUCCGCGCUGCAUUAGCUAGUUGGUAAGGUAACGGCUUACCAAGGCAACGAUGCAUAGCCACCUGAGAGGGUGAUCGGCCACACUGGAACUGAGACACGGUCCAG
rnacentral:rRNA from 1 species